CCGAUGCACAGGCAGCUUUGAGAAUGACUGCUGGAUAGAUCAUUGGUUUUAGGACUUCUUAGAGUCAUGGAAUCCUUUUCUUCCUGGGAAAUCUUAAACAGGAUCAAAUUUAAAAAAUAGAUCAAAAAAUGGCCCUGUCCUGGUGGAAGGAGGGGUUUCAGGCCCUCCCAUAUCCCCACAAGCAGCCCCUAAGGCCCCCAGCGGCUCCCCUGAGCACCCAGAUUUCAUUGCUUUCUGAGGUUCCUUUUGCUCUGAUGCUCCAACCUUGCAUUUGGUGCAACGGGCAGGGCGGGGUGGGGGGAGUCUCAAAGAGCUCACCUAACGCUGUCUCUCCCUCCAGCUCCCGCCCCUGCCUUAGAAGCCAGUGCCAGAGGAGUAAACAGGGACAGGAGCAGCCAGCGGCUGGCUUAGGAGGUGCGUCAGACAUGCCACAUCAGAUGCUUCUGGCUUUGUAGGCCCAUCCUGGCCCGAGGCCAAACAGCUUCAUGGGCUCUGCAGAGCGCCAGCUGGGGCUGCGUGGGCGUUGAUGAUCUGCCUGUCUACCAGCGACAGAGGGGACGGCCGCAGUGCUGCAUCAGUUGUGGCAGAGGGAGAUGCUACAGGGACACUCUGGCUGGGAGACAUGGUGGAGGAUAAAGUCAAUUUCACACUUUAUUAGUCAGUCCGGGCCAAUUGAGGCCACCCCGAAGCUGAGCUGAGGCCCCCGCUCUCCCUCCAGUCUUCACCAGCAAGAAGGGCCUCUAUCACCUGAAACUCUUCUCGUUGAAGGAGCAGUAUUUCUUUUUCUACUCGAAACCCCACAGCAUUCAAACAAGGAGCUGGGAUCCCUUUUACUCUGCAAGAGACUGCUGCAGCUGAGAGGUGGACAAAUCAGAGGGGGGAGGCGUUGAGCCAUGGCGUUUGUGUAUUCAUUUAUUCAUCCAUCAUCCCUUCAACAGACAAUGUAAUGGGAGCCUACUGUGUGCCAGCAAACGGAGCCUGGUGCUUAGUUUAAUAAAGCAUAAUGUCCUCAGGGAACCCUCAUUCCUCCACCAGCCUUUCACUGAGCACCUACCAGGUACCAGACACUGUGCCAGGCCCUGGGGAUGCAGUGUGAACAGGCAGCCACAGGCCCUGCCCUCGUGGAGCUGACUCAGUGGGAGAGUAAAAAGGUGAUUUCAACAGAGAGGGAGAAGGAUCUGAGCAGAGGUACAUCCAAGAAGAGCACCUGAACCAAGCAAGGAAGGCUUCCGUGAGGAAGUGACAUGUCACUGACACUUAAUGGAUGACUUAGCAGGGAUGAAGGAGGAGUGAGGAAGGUGGUACCACCCAGAUGAAAGAGCAAGUGCAAAGGAGGCCAGAGAGAGCCAUGUGGAAGGUUUAUCAGUCAGCGUGCAGAGUCCAGGAGGCAGAGGGAUGAACAGGGGCCAGACCAUGAAGCCAUGGUCAAGAGCCCUGGGUUCAGAUCUGUGUUUCUGAAAGCUGACCUGGUGGGGGCCUUGUGAAGAACCUAGGGAAGGCGAGAGGACCCGGAGACAGCAGAUGCAGUCGGAGGCUGUUGCAAGAUGACAGAAGAGGAAGCUGAGGCUCAGAGAAGGUGAAGAACUUCCCCAAAGUCACACCAUAGGUAAGAAGUUGGAUUCGAUCCUGCUUGGUCUGACUCCCAAGCCCACAUAGGAUGCCAUCCAGCCUCUCAAGGGUCUGGGGUCAGCAGUCCAGCAGUGAGCCGGUCUUUCUGCUGAAUCUGCUCUACUGGAGUGCCACUCAGGACCUCCUUGGUUAUGAAUGACAGUGACUCCACAUAGUGGUCCAGCACUCUGGCAUCUGACAGCCUGGGUUCAAACCACAGCUCUGCUGCUUCCAGGCUGUGUGACCUUGAGCACAUUAUUGAACUUCUCUGUUCCUCAGUUCUUCCUAACACCUUCAUAGAACCAUUGUGAUGUAACAACAUAAAUGAGAUCGUGCAUCCAAAGUGCUUGGCCCAGUGCCUGGAGCACACAAGUGCUCAAGAAAGGGUGGCUAUUAUGUUGAAGUGAAGGGGGAAUUUAUUGGUGCCUGUAAACAAACGAAGUACAGAAGGAAUGCAUGGGGCUGACCUUGGAUCACUGAACCGCAGGCCUUGAAUGCUCUCGAGCGUGUCUGUUGGUCUACCUGUGGCUCUUUCUCUUUGUCUUGUUUUGUCUCUAGCAGACUCCCCCUCCCUCCCUGUCUCUCUCUCAUUCACUCAUUCUCUAUUGCUGUCUUGUCCUUUCUCUGUCGCUCUUUCUUGUGUCUGUCUGCCCGUCUCUCUCUUUCCACUGUCCCAUUUUCUCUCUUCUCACCUUCUUUGCACAUGCCGCCUUCAUUCUCUCGGGUCCACGUUCCCAAGAUGUGGAACCAUGGGCCUCAAGUAGGCUUGCCAGCUAAAAUACAGGGCACCUAGUUAAACUUGAAUUUGAGAUAAGCCAUGAACAAUUUUUCAGCACAAGCGUGUCUCAUUUGGGAAUACUGAAGAUUAUUUCAAUUUGGCAGUG
rnacentral:lncRNA from 1 species